CGAAAGGAAACUGUCGCGAGCCCGCCCCGGCUCUCCCUUGCGGGGUCUUCCUCCCGCCGGUGCCUGCCGCUGCGGGGCCGCCCUGGGCUGGACGAUUUUUAUUUAUUUGGGAGAGAGAGAGAGAGAGAGAGAGCACAAGCAAGGGGAGCAGCAGAGGGAGAGGGAGAAGCAGGCCCCUGCUGAGCAAGGAGAUGCGGGACUCGUCGAUCCCAGGACCUGAGAUCAUGACUUGAGCCGAAGGCAGACACUUAACCGACUGAGCCACCCAGUGGUGAUUCACAAGAGCUGAAACACAGAAGCAAGCCGGGAGUCCCUCCUCGGAUGAGGGUCCGUCCACACGGUGGAAUAUCAUGCAGCCUUAGACGGGAAGGACAUCCGCACACCUGCUGCGGUGUGGACGGACCUGGAGGACAUGGAGCCAGCUGGAAUCAGCCAGUCACAGAAGGAUGGGUAGUAUAGGAUUCCAUUUAUGUGAGGUUCCUAGAGUCCUCAUAGAGACAGAGUGUAGGAUGGGGGCACCGGGGGUCAGAGGACAGGGUGGGGAGUUAGUGUUUUAAUGGGGACAGAGUUUCACUUUGGGACGAUUACAAAGUUCUGCAAAUCGGUUGCACAACAACAUGAGUGCGAAUCUCACGUUCUGUGUAUUUUACUACCAGUAAAAAUUUAAAAAUAAAAAGACCCGGGAAUCCUGGGGCCUUUCUGAGAUGCCAAGGAUGUUAAGGGGGGUUCAGCCCUCACUGGAGAAUUCUAGAUUCUGUGGUAGGUGGACAACCCCAGCGAGGCCCCGGCUAUGUCAGGCGUUUCCAGAUGAGGAUAAGAAGGAUGGGGUCCCCGCCCUUGGUGGAGGGCAGACCUGCACACCGAAAUCACGGUCAUAAAACCUCUACCCACCCCUCACCCCCAUUUUACAAAUAAGUAAAAUAGUUUUAGACGUUUAGUGAUAAUUAAGAAGAUAAUUUUGGAAGUAAUUCAUACUCAUUUCAGAACAUUUGGAAAAUACAGAAGAGCAUAGAGAGGAAAAUAAGUAUAUUUAAAGCUCACAACCCAAGGGAUUGUGGCCACCAAUGAUCUUUCUCCUCGAACGUCAUGAAUAUCCACUUACGUGUGGGUCAGUGUGACAUAAAUGUUAGUUUGGAUUUUGUCUUUCUCCCUCUUAGUGCUUAGUGAGUGAUGAGCUCAACAGAACAUCCUCGGCCAGUGUGGGGACGCUGCCUGCAGGGGCGUGGGGUGGGGGCGUGGGGUAAGGGAAUUCUAGCCGGCAGGGCCCCUGAGCUGAGCACUGAGGAUCGGGACUCCCCCAGGCCCUGCUGAGCCUCGCAGGCCUGGGACCCCUGGUUCCCCAUCAGUGGUCUUCCUGUGAGGUGGUCCACGGCCACGAGGCCCUGGAUUUAGGCCACUUUGGGAGUUGGGGGCCCCCAGCCCUCCUCCUCCUCCUCACCCAUCAUCACCUCCUCACCCAGCUGGGCUUGGGGCUGCGCCCUGGACCCCAGGCCCCAGGCAGGCUCCAAGGGCCAGUGAUCUCCCCUGGGGGCUGCAGGAUGAGACUCUGUGGCUGUUUCUGAGCGGAACUGGCCAUUCUUUGGGGCCAUCGCCCUGCUCGGAGCCUUCCGUCCACCCGUCCCUUCUCCGCCCCUGCCCUCCACUGGCUCUCCUGCUGGGACAGCUUGGCUCCCGUCCUGGCGCUCACCUUCUCCCGGCUUCCUCUUGCCCUCCGUUAGCUGUUCCCCACUGUGCUCCUCAGUGAGCAUGGCUCUCCACCAUUUAUUCAGGGACACCAGCUGCCCAUCAUGCGAGAAUGGACUCCCAGGUCCAGAGAGUGUGAGGUCUGGUCACCUUGGAGAGCUGGUCGAGGGCUGGGCUGGCUGGACGCCCAGACUCAGCAGGACCCCACCUCUGGAUCUCCAUUCAGGAGCCCGAGGAGGUGUCCCCGGAGGUUUGUGGGGGCCGUGGGGCCCCUGGGCGGGGUGUGUGGCUCUGUCUGUGCCCUCCCUGUGCUUCUGGCCGGUACCCCGCGGCACCUGCUAUUUAACAAGCUCGCUUGCUGGAUCAGCAUGAAGGAGACUCCUCCCUUCACUGCUAGACUGGCUUGGAGGACCCCAGAGGGGCUGGGUGGACGCUGACCACGAAUGGGGAGCUAGCCUGGCUGGGGAGGUUGGGCAGUGGCUGAGUCUGAGCUUUCCUUGGGCUGGCCAGAACCAGCCUGGAUUAGCCCUGCUCUUCCUGCUUCCUCUGGCACCUGUGAGCUGAGGGGUGGGUCCCGGGUCCUUAGCCAGCGAGGUGCUGGCCCCGCGUUCCCACUGAGGACAGACGAGCGGGAGGGGCUCGGUGGCCUGGGAAAGAUGCAGGGAGGGGUCUCGGGCAGAUGGCACUGGGGCCAGCAGCCAGGCCUGGCCAGACUACCGACCCUGCGGCCCAUAGUGUCCCCCAGCCCUGAGAAUCUGCCCCGGGGAGGCCUCCUUGGCCUGUCCUGCUUCCCCCCAGCACCAGCAGACCCCAGCAGGUCCAUUGCAAGGAGGACAAUGAGAAAUGAGGGCUUCAGCAUGAUCUGUCCUGGGCAGCAAAGGCCUGGGUGGGCAUCUCCCCACCUUCUCAGAGCCCUUGGCCCCCUGGAGGACAAGGCAGGGUUGUGUGGGCGGGGGGAGUCAGCAGCACUGUCAGCUGAUUGGGGCAGGAAGGCAGAGGGGGACAGAGCAAGGGGACCUGAGGGUACACUCCUGCCUUCCCACCCAGAGCCCCCAGUAACUUGGUCCUGUCUGUGGUUGAGCCCUCCCCAACCCCCCCAGAGGGGAGCCCACUGCUGGCUGCCACCCCCUUGCAAGCCCGGUCUCCCUUGCAGCUAAUCCGUGAGGGUUUUUUCCUGGAACUUGCUUUGUCAUUGUCCCCUGGGUGUUUUAGGCAUAAAUCUUUGCCUUUGCUUUCUUCUUAGAACUCCGGCUUGUCUGGGCCUCUGACCCCAGCCGUGGUCUCCAGAGCACCCAGGCUUGGAACUCCCCAAAGUGUGUUUCCGGGGUGUGCUGGCUUUCGAGGCUUCCCUUCUUGCCCCAGUGGCUGAGCUCUGCUGGGCGGGGAG